AAGCGUGGGAUCUUCGGACCACGUGCCAAAGGAUGAGCCCAUGUCUGAUUAGCUAGUUGGUGAGGUAAUGGCUCACCAAGGCGACGAUCAGUAGCCGGCCUGAGAGGGUGGACGGCCACACUGGGACUGAGACACGGCCCAGACUCCUACGGGAGGCAGCAGUGGGGAAUAUUGGACAAUGGGGGCAACCCUGAUCCAGCAAUGCCGCGUGUGUGAAGAAGGCCUGCGGGUUGUAAAGCACUUUUGUUGAGGAAGAAUGUGUUUGGGCUAAUAGUCCAAAUGCUUGACGUUACUCAAAGAAAAAGCACCGGCUAACUCCGUG
rnacentral:rRNA from 1 species